CUGUUUACUUUCUACACUAACAGGGGUUCUUUAAGAGUCUCACAAUGCCUCGAAGAACCUGACUAGUAGGUAAUAUAGCGCAUAACAUAGUGGUCAGAAUUAUGACCAGCUGGCCUUAUGGUUGUCAGAAAAAUAUGUCAUAUUCAUGUCAGUAAAAAUUAGUUUAAAAAAAACGUCUUUAGUCAACCAGUUUGUGACUAGAUUAAGACAUCAUUGAAUGAUGUCAUACUGACGUCUUUUCAACCAGGUUUUGCCCGCUAGGUUAAGGUUCUUGCAAAAUUAGGGUUUCAACAAGGGUUCUUAUAAGAUCAUCAAAGUUCUUCAAAGAACCUUCGAGUUCUUGGCACUGAAAAUUGUCCCCAAAAAAGUUAUUCCAAGAACCCCAUAGGAGAUUGGGUUCAUUGAGGAACCCCUUUAGUUCCUCGAUGCCCAACAGAAAAAUGUGGAUUUGAAUUUGAGAAGACAGCAGGUGCAGGCACUUAACUGAAAAAUUGAAAGCUCUCCUCAAGUAGAGAAAAUGGACAACUCAAUGGCUGUCAAUCAACAAAAAGGUAUACGGACAAGGAGGCACACAAAGGACAGCAGCCAUCUUCCUCCUCCCUGACCUCUUCAAUGAAGAUCCCAGAGGCCCCUACAUUAUAAACAAGACUUCACCCUCCUUAUACCUCUGAUGACUAUAACAGGAAACCUAUGUGAUCACCAUGCACUGCAAAAUCAUUCUGGCUAUGGAUAGCCUACAGAGGACAUCAACACCCCAGAGGAUAUAUCCAUUGGACUUGGGGCUUUGUUGGGAGUUUACCUCAUAUUUAGAUUUUAGAAUUCUGCUUUGCCACUAAAAUCAUAAUAAACAUUGAAAACUAAAAGAUUGUGUUAUUGCACCAAAUGGGACCUUUAAACUGCCUGCUCUCAAAGCUCAUCUAUACACUGAGUGUACCAAAUAUUAGGAACACCUUUCUAAUAUUGAGUUG